rnacentral:rRNA from 1 species
CGACUUAUAUUCUGUAGCAAGGUUAACCGUAUAGGGGAGCCGCAGGGAAACCGAGUCUUAACUGGGCGUUAAGUUGCAGGGUAUAGACCCGAAACCCGGUGAUCUAGCCAUGGGCAGGUUGAAGGUUGGGUAACACUAACUGGAGGACCGAACCGACUAAUGUUGAAAAAUUAGCGGAUGACUUGUGGCUGGGGGUGAAAGGCCAAUCAAACCGGGAGAUAGCUGGUUCUCCCCGAAAGCUAUUUAGGUAGCGCCUCGUGAAUUCAUCUUCGGGGGUAGAGCACUGUUUCGGCUAGGGGGUCAUCCCGACUUACCAACCCGAUGCAAACUACGAAUACCGAAGAAUGUUAUCACGGGAGACACACGGCGGGUGCUAACGUCCGUCGUGAAGAGGGAAACAACCCAGACCGCCAGCUAAGGUCCCAAAGUCACAGUUAAGUGGGAAACGAUGUGGGAAGGCACAGACAGCCAGGAUGUUGGCUUAGAAGCAGCCAUCAUUUAAAGAAAGCGUAAUAGCUCACUGGUCGAGUCGGCCUGCGCGGAAGAUGUAACGGGGCUAAACUGUGCACCGAAGCUGCGGCAGCGACACUUAGGUGUUGUUGGGUAGGGGAGCGUUCUGUAAGCCUGCGAAGGUGGCCUGUGAGGGUUGCUGGAGGUAUCAGAAGUGCGAAUGCUGACAUAAGUAACGAUAAUGCGGGUGAAAAGCCCGCACGCCGGAAGACCAAGGGUUCCUGUCCAACGUUAAUCGGGGCAGGGUGAGUCGACCCCUAAGGCGAGGCCGAAAGGCGUAGUCGAUGGGAAACAGGUUAAUAUUCCUGUACUUGGUGUUACUGCGAAGGGGGGACGGAGAAGGCUAUGUUAGCCGGGCGACGGUUGUCCCGGUUUAAGCAUGUAGGCGGAGGUUCCAGGUAAAUCCGGUACCUUUUNGAUUGACGUUACUCGCAGAAGAAGCACCGGCUAACUCCGUGCCAGCAGCCGCGGUAAUACGGAGGGUGCAAGCGUUAAUCGGAAUUACUGGGCGUAAAGCGCACGCAGGCGGUCUGUCAAGUCGGAUGUGAAAUCCCCGGGCUCAACCUGGGAACUGCAUUCGAAACUGGCAGGCUAGAGUCUUGUAGAGGGGGGUAGAAUUCCAGGUGUAGCGGUGAAAUGCGUAGAGAUCUGGAGGAAUACCGGUGGCGAAGGCGGCCCCCUGGACAAAGACUGACGCUCAGGUGCGAAAGCGUGGGGAGCAAACAGGAUUAGAUACCCUGGUAGUCCACGCCGUAAACGAUGUCGACUUGGAGGUUGUGCCCUUGAGGCGUGGCUUCCGGAGCUAACGCGUUAAGUCGACCGCCUGGGGAGUACGGCCGCAAGGUUAAAACUCAAAUGAAUUGACGGGGGCCCGCACAAGCGGUGGAGCAUGUGGUUUAAUUCGAUGCAACGCGAAGAACCUUACCUACUCUUGACAUCCAGAGAACUUAGCAGAGAUGCUUUGGUGCCUUCGGGAACUCUGAGACAGGUGCUGCAUGGCUGUCGUCAGCUCGUGUUGUGAAAUGUUGGGUUAAGUCCCGCAACGAGCGCAACCCUUAUCCUUUGUUGCCAGCGGUUCGGUCGGGAACUCAAAGGAGACUGCCAGUGAUAAACUGGAGGAAGGUGGGGAUGACGUCAAGUCAUCAUGGCCCUUACGAGUAGGGCUACACACGUGCUACAAUGGCAUAUACAAAGAGAAGCGACCUCGCGAGAGCAAGCGGACCUCAUAAAGUAUGUCGUAGUCCGGAUUGGAGUCUGCAACUCGACUCCAUGAAGUCGGAAUCGCUAGUAAUCGUAGAUCAGAAUGCUACGGUGAAUACGUUCCCGGGCCUUGUACACACCGCCCGUCACACCAUGGGAGUGGGUUGCAAAAGAAGUAGGUAGCUUAACCUUCGGGAGGGCGCUUACCACUUUGUGAUUCAUGACUGGGGUGAAGUCGUAACAAGGUAACCGUAGGGGAACCUGCGGUUGGAUCACCU